GACGAACGCUGGCGGCGUGCCUAAUACAUGCAAGUAGAACGCACAGUUUAUACCGUAGCUUGCUACACCAUAGACUGUGAGUUGCGAACGGGUGAGUAACGCGUAGGUAACCUGCCUGGUAGCGGGGGAUAACUAUUGGAAACGAUAGCUAAUACCGCAUAAUAUUCAUUAUUGCAUGAUAAUUGAUUGAAAGGUUCAAUUGCACCACUACCAGAUGGACCUGCGUUGUAUUAGCUAGUAGGUGAGGUAACGGCUCACCUAGGCGACGAUACAUAGCCGACCUGAGAGGGUGGACGGGCAACAUGGGAAUGAGGACCCGCCCAGACUUCCAACGGAGGCAGGCGUAGGGAAUCUUUGGCAAAGGACGAAAGUCUGAACGAGCAACGGCGGGUGAGUGGAGGAGGUUUUCGGAUCGUAAAGACCUGUUGUAAGGGAAGAACGGGUGUGAGAGUGGAAAGUUCACACUGUGACGGUAUCUUACCAGAAAGGGACGGCUAACUACGUG
rnacentral:rRNA from 1 species